CUGGGCCAGGCCAGUUUAAAGAUAGAGUUACCUAGACUCCAUCAGGUCCACGGGCUGCUUAGAUCUGUUGUGGGGCAGCAUUUCUGUGGAAGAGGCGGCUCGGCCUGCACUAGCGGUGAGGUUCCCCUGCUGAGGUCACAGUAGAGAGGCAGGAGGCAGCAGAAGGGGACGGCACAGGGCCAGCGGCGACGGAGCAGAUGGCACAGUGUGGUGAACGGUGACACAAACAACAGCAGCAGAGUGAACGACACGCAGCAGCAGCAGCAGCAGCGGGCAGUGAAGGCGUUACUCAAUUUCCCCCCCCCGUGUGAACGCAUGUGAAGGCACCGCUGGGCUCUGGGUCUCCACAGACCAAGGACAGCAGCUUGCUGCAACCUCUGCUCGGAUCUUCUCCCAAUCUGCUUGGUUCUGGGACACUGCAAACAGAAAUGCCCUUGGGAUCAGGAGAGGGGAAAGGUUGCCACAACCAGGCUGGUGUCCUGAGUGGCCAUGUGCAGCGUGAGGAGCCCGCCUGUAACGCUAGGGGAUGGCAGCAACUGCCUGUCUCCAUGGAGAGGAAUACGUUGGUAAUGGAGGGUUUGCUGCUGACUGCCAGCUGGAUCUGUAUGUAAGCAGAGUCUGAAUGAGCUCUCCCCUGACAUCUAGUGGUGAGCUGUGGAAAAAGACUUCAGAAGCAAAAGAGUUCAGAUUUUGACCCUCUGGAACAAGGAGAAAGAGGACAAGUUUAUCAUGCAAAUAAAGCCACAGGUUAACCCUAAAAUACCAACCCCCCAAGGAAAUGGUUCAACUGAAAGCCUAUGUUAAGGAAGGUCAAGAAAAAGCUGCAAAGGUUCAAAAGGGAUAUUGAACAAGCUGACCUAAAGAAUGAUUUGUCUAAACCAAAGACUUGGCACGACAAAAAUGUUUGUAAAUGUACCCUUGUGACAGAACUGAUGUUAAUGUUUGUCAUAACUAUAAAGGGAAGGGUAACAACCCUCCUGUGUACAAUACUAUAAAGUCCCUCCUGGCCAGAGACACCAAAAUCCUUUUUUCGCCUUCCUCCGCAGCAU